ACUUCAAAGCAGCACAUCUGACCUGCCAGAUAGAUCUCUAAGUCCAGAGAAACAGAGCAGCAAACUGCAUGAAUGAGACAAGAAGAUUACAGCUGUCUGACACUCAUGCAACACGCUGAACCUGGCCAAAAAUAUAUAAACAAAUGAAUAUAAGGAUAUGGAACAGAAACAUACACGGCUCACUCCUUCCCUCCCGUCCUUGCCGGUCCUCCUUACACAGUGACAUGGCCGGAGCCGCGCACCACCACAGGGUCCGGCGAGUGCUUCAGCAGCUGCUCUUCCAAGGCCCGCUCCUCAUCUUCCUCUUCUUCGUAGAUCUCGUCGAAGUCCGCCAUGGCCAGGUCGGGCCAGGCCAGGCCGCGAUGAGACUGCCGAGAAGCUGAGAGAAGAAGAGCAGGCCGGGAAUGAGAGAAGGGAAGAUAAGGGCGAGAGCAGCCGCUUCUUCUUCUACUUCUAAGACUACCACCGAAGCCCCGACCCAAGCGUCCGCCGAAAUCUCCUCUCAGAGCCGCCGGGAGGAAGCGCCCGUCAUGAUCCCGGGGAGGGGGAGAGAGAGACGGACAGGAACAACAACAAUAACAACAUCCGCUCUCCUGCGCCGCGGCAGCCACUGACUGAGAAGCCGCUGGCGCCAAGCCCCGCCCCGCUGCCCCCGGGCGCGCGCGUACCACUCUCUCAAUAAAACAGCAGCAGGGUCGUGAGCGCGUUCUCAGGCACAUGGAUUUAAGGGGGGAGGAGCGGCUGGCUUGGAGUCUGCAGAGCGCACGCGCCACUCUCAAGAUAGAUGUGUGCUAGCAAUAGAGUGGACGACAGCCGAAAGGGAAAGGUUGGCCUCCCUGAUGCGAUCUUGGUUGGGGAAGAGACAUUCCUGAAGCCUUGCUUCCAUGUCCACUCCUAAGCUUGGUUACUAGUAGGAAGGAGGUCACAGCGGAAUCGUCUUCAGCAUGAUGAGAUGAUGAGCAAGAUAAAAGAUCCAACAAGAUCAGAAGGAUCCAGCAUGAUUCCUACAGUAUGAUACCUACUAGUGGAAGCUUGUAAUUGCUGUUUUAUUUUUUUUCUUUCUAAUAAUGUUAUUUGUUAUUUAAUUUUGACAAUUGUAUUAUUUUAUUGAUGUAUUAUGUUCUAUUGAUGUAUUGCUAUAUUUGUGUUUUUGUAAGCCGCCUUGAGGGCCUUUUGACCAUAAGGCGGGGUAUAAAUUUAAUAAAUAAAUAAUAAAUAAAUGUGGUGGUGAAAAUGUCAAA